GAUGAACGCUGGCGGCGUGCCUAAUACAUGCAAGUCGAGCGAACAGACGAGGAGCUUGCUCCUCUGACGUUAGCGGCGGACGGGUGAGUAACACGUGGAUAACCUACCUAUAAGACUGGGAUAACUUCGGGAAACCGGAGCUAAUACCGGAUAAUAUAUUGAACCGCAUGGUUCAAUAGUGAAAGACGGUUUUGCUGUCCCUUAUAGAUGGUUCCGCGCCGCAUUAGCUAGUUGGUAAGGUAACGGCUUACCAAGGCAACGAUGCGUAGCCGACCUGAGAGGGUGAUCGGCCACACUGGAACUGAGACACGGUCCAGACUCCUACGGGAGGCAGCAGUAGGGAAUCUUCCGCAAUGGGCGAAAGCCUGACGGAGCAACGCCGCGUGAGUGAUGAAGGUCUUCGGAUCGUAAAACUCUGUUAUUAGGGAAGAACAAAUGUGUAAGUAACUAUGCACGUCUUGACGGUACCUAAUCAGAAAGCCACGGCUAACUACGUG
rnacentral:rRNA from 1 species